GACGAACGCUGGCGGCGUGCCUAAUACAUGCAAGUCGAACGCAGUGGGGACGGUUGCGUAACACGUGGCUAACCUCCCAUCAGAGGGGAUAACACUUGGCUACAGGUGCUUAACCGAUAUUGGUGUAUGGACCCGGGGUGCAUUAGCUAGUUGGUGAGGUAACGGCUCACCAAGGCGACGAUGCAUAGCUGGCCUGAGAGGGUGACCAGCCACACUGGGACUGAGACACGGCCCAGACUCCUACGGGAGGCAGCAGUGGGGAAUCUUCGGCAAUGGACGAAAGUCUGACCGAGCAACGCCGCGUGAGUGAAGAAGGUUUUCGGAUCGUAAAACUCUGUCGUUAGAGAAGCGGUAUCUAACGAGAAAGCCACGGCUAACUACGUGCCAGCAGCCGCGGUAAUAC
rnacentral:rRNA from 1 species